GACGAGCGCUGGCGGCGUGCCUAAUACAUGCAAGUAGAACGCUGAAGGAGGAGCUUGCUUCUCUGGAUGAGUUGCGAACGGGUGAGUAACGCGUAGGUAACCUGCCUGGUAGCGGGGGAUAACUAUUGGAAACGAUAGCUAAUACCGCAUAAUAGUAGAUGUUGCAUGACAUUUGCUUAAAAGGUGCAAUUGCAUCACUACCAGAUGGACCUGCGUUGUAUUAGCUAGUUGGUGAGGUAACGGCUCACCAAGGCAACGAUACAUAGCCGACCUGAGAGGGUGAUCGGCCACACUGGGACUGAGACACGGCCCAGACUCCUACGGGAGGCAGCAGUAGGGAAUCUUCGGCAAUGGACGGAAGUCUGACCGAGCAACGCCGCGUGAGUGAAGAAGGUUUUCGGAUCGUAAAGCUCUGUUGUAAGAGAAGAACGAGUGUGAGAGUGGAAAGUUCACACUGUGACGGUAUCUUACCAGAAAGGGACGGCUAACUACGUG
rnacentral:rRNA from 1 species